GACGAACGCUGGCGGCGUGCUUAACACAUGCAAGUCGAACGGUGAAGCGCCUUCCUUUUUGGUGGGUGUGGAUGAGUGGCGAACGGGUGAGUAACACGUGAGUAACCUGCCCCCUUCUUCUGGAUAACCGCAUGAAAGUGUGGCUAAUACGGGAUAUUCUGGGUCUGUCGCAUGAUGGGUCUGGGAAAGAUUUUGUUUCGGUGGGGGAUGGGCUCGCGGCCUAUCAGCUUGUUGGUGGGGUGAUGGCCUACCAAGGCGGUGACGGGUAGCUGGCCUGAGAGGGUGGACGGUCACACUGGGACUGAGACACGGCCCAGACUCCUACGGGAGGCAGCAGUGGGGAAUGUUGCACAGUGGGCGCAAGGCUGAUGCAGCGACGCCGCGGGAGGGAUGGAGGCCUUCGGGUUGUGAACCUCUUUCGCCAGUGAAGCAGGCCUGCCUCGUUUGUGGGUGGGUUGACGGUAGCUGGAGAAGAAGCGCCGGCUAACUACGUG
rnacentral:rRNA from 1 species